UACGUAGGCAGCAAGCGUUGUUCGGAAUUACUGGGCGUAAAGAGUGUGUAGGCGGUGCUCUAAGUUCGGUGUGAAAUCUCCCGGCUCAACUGGGAGGGUGCGCCGAAAACUGGAGUGCCGGAGCGCGGGAGAGGAAAGCGGAAUUCCUGGUGUAGCGGUGAAAUGCGCAGAUAUCAGGAGGAACACCGGUGGCGAAGGCGGAUCUCUGGGCCAUUACUGACGCUGAGGAGCGAAAGCGUGGGGAGCGAACAGG
rnacentral:rRNA from 1 species